rnacentral:rRNA from 1 species
GUUAAGCGACUAAGCGUACACGGUGGAUGCCCUGGCAGUCAGAGGCGAUGAAGGACGUGCUAAUCUGCGAUAAGCGUCGGUAAGGUGAUAUGAACCGUUAUAACCGGCGAUUUCCGAAUGGGGAAACCCAGUGUGUUUCGACACACUAUCAUUAACUGAAUCCAUAGGUUAAUGAGGCGAACCGGGGGAACUGAAACAUCUAAGUACCCCGAGGAAAAGAAAUCAACCGAGAUUCCCCCAGUAGCGGCGAGCGAACGGGGAGCAGCCCAGAGCCUGAAUCAGUGUGUGUGUUAGUGGAAGCGUCUGGAAAGGCGCGCGAUACAGGGUGACAGCCCCGUACACAAAAAUGCACAUGCUGUGAGCUCGAUGAGUAGGGCGGGACACGUGGUAUCCUGUCUGAAUAUGGGGGGACCAUCCUCCAAGGCUAAAUACUCCUGACUGACCGAUAGUGAACCAGUACCGUGAGGGAAAGGCGAAAAGAACCCCGGCGAGGGGAGUGAAAAAGAACCUGAAACCGUGUACGUACAAGCAGUGGGAGCACGCUUAGGCGUGUGACUGCGUACCUUUUGUAUAAUGGGUCAGCGACUUAUAUUCUGUAGCAAGGUUAACCGAAUAGGGGAGCCGAAGGGAAACCGAGUCUUAACUGGGCGUUAAGUUGCAGGGUAUAGACCCGAAACCCGGUGAUCUAGCCAUGGGCAGGUUGAAGGUUGGGUAACACUAACUGGAGGACCGAACCGACUAAUGUUGAAAAAUUAGCGGAUGACUUGUGGCUGGGGGUGAAAGGCCAAUCAAACCGGGAGAUAGCUGGUUCUCCCCGAAAGCUAUUUAGGUAGCGCCUCGUGAAUUCAUCUCCGGGGGUAGAGCACUGUUUCGGCAAGGGGGUCAUCCCGACUUACCAACCCGAUGCAAACUGCGAAUACCGGAGAAUGUUAUCACGGGAGACACACGGCGGGUGCUAACGUCCGUCGUGAAGAGGGAAACAACCCAGACCGCCAGCUAAGGUCCCAAAGUCAUGGUUAAGUGGGAAACGAUGUGGGAAGGCCCAGACAGCCAGGAUGUUGGCUUAGAAGCAGCCAUCAUU